rnacentral:lncRNA from 1 species
CCAGACAAGUAAGCGCUCUGCUACCAUAGGAUGCAGUGAAGCGUGCCGUCGCGUCUGAACUCCGACCAGCAAGCCGCGUGCCGAGACUAGCUUAAACAUAAGAUUUCAAUUAUAACAUAUUACCCCCUAAACAGAUAUAAUAUUAUGAAUAGGUACCUUCUGCUGUCACAAUAUGCAUUAAUGCACACCUCGAUACGAUGCAAUCAUAACAAGCCACUCUCCAAGACCAGUUCAUGCAUAAGAUUUUCGUGAAAAAUGAGUCUCAUAAUGUUUUGAACUAGAACCAGUUCCUCCAAUGCCAGGGCUACUUCAAACUUAAAAUUAUACGCACAGACACAUAUAGUAUAAAUAUACAAAUAUAAACUUUUAUUUUGGUG